UGGCAUUGGCGACAGCUAUACAUGCAAGUCGAACGCUUCUUUUUCCACCGGAGCUUGCUCCACCGGAAAAAGAGGAGUGGCGAACGGGUGAGUAACACGUGGGUAACCUGCCCAUCAGAAGGGGAUAACACUUGGAAACAGGUGCUAAUACCGUAUAACAAUCGAAACCGCAGGGUUUUGAUUUGAAAGGCGCUUUCGGGUGUCGCUGAUGGAUGGACCCGCGGUGCAUUAGCUAGUUGGUGAGGUAACGGCUCACCAAGGCGACGAUGCAUAGCCGACCUGAGAGGGUGAUCGGCCACAUUGGGACUGAGACACGGCCCAAACUCCUACGGGAGGCAGCAGUAGGGAAUCUUCGGCAAUGGACGAAAGUCUGACCGAGCAACGCCGCGUGAGUGAAGAAGGUUUUCGGAUCGUAAAACUCUGUUGUUAGAGAAGAACAAGGAUGAGAGUAACUGUUCAUCCCUUGACGGUAUCUAACCAGAAAGCCACGGCUAACUACGUGCCAGCAGCCGCGGUAAUACGUAGGUGGCAAGCGUUGUCCGGAUUUAUUGGGCGUAAAGCGAGCGCAGGCGGUUUCUUAAGUCUGAUGUGAAAGCCCCCGGCUCAACCGGGGAGGGUCAUUGGAAACUGGGAGACUUGAGUGCAGAAGAGGAGAGUGGAAUUCCAUGUGUAGCGGUGAAAUGCGUAGAUAUAUGGAGGAACACCAGUGGCGAAGGCGGCUCUCUGGUCUGUAACUGACGCUGAGGCUCGAAAGCGUGGGGAGCAAACAGGAUUAGAUACCCUGGUAGUCCACGCCGUAAACGAUGAGUGCUAAGUGUUGGAGGGUUUCCGCCCUUCAGUGCUGCAGCUAACGCAUUAAGCACUCCGCCUGGGGAGUACGACCGCAAGGUUGAAACUCAAAGGAAUUGACGGGGGCCCGCACAAGCGGUGGAACAUGUGGUUUAAUUCGAAGCAACGCGAAAAACCUUACCAGGUCUUGACAUCCUUUGACCACUCUAGAAAUAGAGCUUCCCCUUCGGGGGCAAAGUGACAGGUGGUGCAUGGUUGUCUUCACCUCCUGUCGUGAAAUGUUGGGUUAAGUCCCGCAACGAGCGCAACCCUUAUUGUUAGUUGCCAUCAUUUAGUUGGGCACUCUAGCAAGACUGCCGGUGACAAACCGGAAGAAAGGUGGGGAUGAACUUCAAAUCAUCCAGGCCCCUUAUGGACCUGGGGCUAACACCUGUGCUACAAUGGGGAAGUUCCACCCAGUUCCCAAAUUCCCGGAGGGUAAACUAAUUCCUUAAAACUUCCUCCAAUUCCGAAUUGGAGCGUCCAAUCUCUAAA
rnacentral:rRNA from 1 species